GUGCUCGCUUUGGCAGCACAUAUCCUAAAAUUGGAAGGAUAUAGAGAAGAUUAGCAUGGCCCCUGCGCAAGUAGAAGCCAGAGGAUAGUCUUGAUUGAUUUAU